CUUUCAGUCAUCAUAGACAUUGAGGCAUCAUACACGUGCCCUGUCCGCAAUGUACCGCGACGCGAGAUUUGCGAUCCACUGCUUAGCCGUAAAGGACAAUUCCCUUUCGAAAAAAAAGAAAAAUGUUUGAAAGCAUUUUGUGGAGCUUAUAUUUUUCCUGGAUGUUCGAUAUCUGCGCGAGGAUUCGCAUCUUAAUCUCUGAAAUUAUGUUGAAUUAUAAAAAAUAUAUCCCUGAAAUUGCUUUAAUAAAACUCGAUUUUAGAAACGUAACCUCCUCGUAAGUGGUUCUAUAUUUUAUUCUUUAGAUAUCUCAAGUUAGUAGGGUGUCAAAUUUUUAUAGCAAAAGCAGCUGUCGGGUAAAAAUAAUAAUUAUAAAGGAGAAAAAAAAACAAUUACUAUACAUCGAGUUCAAAAGGAAUCAAACAUGUUAACAAAAUUUAGAGCAAAAGUCGCAAUUUCUUUAACUGGGUUUUAACCGGGAUGCGCCUUUCAGUCCAUUUCAUCUUGAUUCGAGCUCCCUCAGACUUUAAAGAAUGCCAAUCACGCCGCUAUUUUACACUGCCGCACCAUGCCGAGUCACACAAAUCUUCCAUUCCCAUCGAAUCAUUUAAGCUAGUUACAAAGAUAUUUUCAAUCAAAUGUAUAAAGUAUCAGAUUUCUUUUGUGAAUGGACAUUUUGAAGUUCUCUUGCAAAAAGACCAUUGUAUCAUAAAUGUAAACAAUAACAAAUAAUCAGCUGAUCGACAUUCUUUAAGGUAGCUCCUGGUCAGUUCGUGAUAGGGUGUAUCUUUUCAACUAAGAUAAGUUGACACUUCAAAUAGAAUUGCUAGUUACUUUUAUUCCUGUCUUUUAGGGAUUCUGCAUUGCUUAGACUUGAAGCAUCCUACUAAAUAGUUUCUGUGAUAAGAAUAACGUCUCUUUCAGACAGGGGUCGUGUCUCUGGCAUCGUCUUUGUUUACAAACAGUUGUUCUAUAUUUUUCGUUAAACUGCGUUCAUGGCACCUGUUAAGACCAUUUAUGCUAAUUCCAAAGAGGCACUGUGGAAAAUUUGACAGUUUAUAAUCACUGUGACAUAUGAACUUUAGUCAGAUUUGAACACAAUAGCAACAGACGAGAAGGAGUAAACCUUAAAAGAGGAUAUAAGAGUGUCCUUGCGCUAAAACGGAUGCCUCUGAACUCGUGGAAAACAAGUCUAUGUAGAAAGAUUAAAGGAGGGAAAACAUGGAUCAAAGCAUACAGCAAAGCAAAGGGAAUUCAUCCACGAUUUCUACGAGCAGUACUACACGAAAAAUACGGUCCUCAAAGGUGGUCACAAAAUCUAUGGUUACAACGUCUAAAGUAACAAAGGUUUCUGCUAAAAAUCUGGAAGGCAAGCUUACGACCCAUGAAUCAAAGAAUUUACUAUCUGAGACAACAUGGGCUUCAAAUUUUCAAGAAGGAAACUUUUCCACAAGUCAACACAAGUCAAUGAGUGUCGCAAAAUCUUCCACGGAAAUGAAGGAACACAGUGGUUUAAAAAUCGACGUUGAUCAACGAGCACUGCAUCUGAUGCAAGGAGCUCGGCCAAAAACAUCGUCAUCAUUAUUGCAUUCUAAAGGCUUAGAAAGCCAUUUGGAUCCGAGUUUUAGCAUUCACAAGGACAUUAAAAUACCGCCAAUUGGCACGAAGAAUACGUUCAACUUUGAUAACGUUUGGGACGAAGGAUUUUCAAUGUUUCCAGAAUAUUUUCAGGAUUUUCAUUCAGGUGUAUCGUCAAUGCAAAGCGUCCAACGUCCAAUUGAAAUGCCACUAAAAGAAACAAAACUUCUUACUGCCAAACAAUACUCAUGGGAAAAAAUAGACAACACCGAGGACGAGGAAUCGGAGGCCGAAAAAAUCGCAAAUUCCUGGUUGAAAAUAUUUGGGGAAAAUGAACCCUUUCAAGGAAAAAAAGAUUUGGAUCGAAAGGCGAUCAAAAAUUCGUAAAUUUAGCAAGUGUUUCUGAUAAUGUUAUGACUAUGUAUUAGACGGGUCUUGUUAGAUUAUGGAAAAAAGACGCACUGAUCCAAACGUGGCGUUUGAUAAUCACGUCUAAAUGUUGGGUUAAUUGGGAGAUGAUCAAUUUGAAGGACGUAAACAUAACUUCCUCCGUUAGGGCUUCCUGCUUUAAGACAUAUCUAAAUGGGAAAUUCCUAAUAAAAGGGAAAAAGCUAACCAUGGAGACAUUUGAAAACAAUAAGACUAGGCGAUUCUUAUAGCCUACAUCAUCUCGGCAAAGCCCGUUGAGUUUUGAUUACGCUGAACACUACUUCUGCUAAUCAGAAAGAGCCCAUUUUGCUGAGAGUGCAGGCGAAAAGAAUAUUGAUUUUCGUUGUUCUUCAGUUGCACAUGUAAAUAAUUUAUUUUCUUUCUUCGCUAGCCAAGUAAAAAGGAUAAGUAAUCAGGAGUAAGAAAAUCGCAAGUGAAAUUAAACUAUAUUUUUUAAAAAUGGGUGUUUCACCUUUUUUCAAGCCGUUUCAAGCGAGACGAUUUCGCAUUUUUAAAUCUACAAAUAAUUAAUGAAGUCGGCCGACUGCUCAGUUGGAAUACCUUCUUAGGAACAAGCUACUUAUGCAAAGAUAUAAACAAGAAAUUCCUAUAAUCCAUAAAUUUCGUUAAUGCUACUUAUUUGGACGGAAAACUAAUCAAUUGUGAUAGAAUUCCUCUUUGCGUGUUGCGUGGCAAAAAAGGCCGUCGGGCGCCCACUGUUGCGAUAGCUUUUGCCGCAUGCUAUCGCUUGCACAAAUUAAUUUAUCGUUGUUACAGUAGAUAAAAUCGUGCAGGCAAACAUUAUUCCACCGAGAACGUUUUUGUCAUCAUUGGCUCUUGCGGGUUUCAUUAUGAGGCCUAGCAGGUGCAAAUACUCGAUUGUGAAAAACGUCACAACAAUGGAAAUCUAAAAAUAUUUGCUUUAUUGCUCCGGAAAGGGAUAUUUCCAGAUAAGCUAAUCCAGCCAAAAGCGAAUAAAUGUGGGAUUAAGAUUGAAAUUUAGAAAGUUAAUUAUCCUUCGUUGUCACUGUGCAUUUCCCUAAUGAUGCCGCGCGCGCAUGCGUGCGGUAAAAGAUAAAAUGCUGAUCUCCCCACAUUUGACGUUAUCGAUUAUAGGGGAGAUUCCUGCGGUUGAAAGAUCACGAAAUCGUAAUUUAUCGCUAACAAGAAGGUUUCUUGAGAGUCUAGAAAGGACAUGUAGGUCUAUGGGGCCUCAGGAGAUAUUCGCAUCCUUUACUGAGGUCUGUGUUCAUAAACACAGCUUUUCGGUAUUUUUUUUUUUAAGAAAAAAAGGAUAAAAGAUCACAAUGAGGCUGUAAGAUUUGUUAUUUAUUGGAGAAAAUAUAAUUUCCAUGCAGACCCUGUUUUACUAAAUAACAUCCUCAAUUUUGAAGUCUACUCCGGCAAACGUGUUGCUAUUUUAUUAUUCCAUAGAGUUUUUAGUGGUUUAUUAAAGAUGAGAAUCGUUCAUGCACUAAUUGUCACUCGUUUAUAUAAUACAUUUUUCAUCUUUGUAAAAAAACUCCUGUUAAAACAAUAUUGUGCAUGACCCUGAAUAUAUAAUUCUUCUUGUCUGAAAUGUGAGAAAUAAAUAUUUUCCUAACUCUU